GAGUUUGAUCUUGGCUCAGAACGAACGCUGGCGGCAGGCCUAACACAUGCAAGUCGAACGAUGUAGCAAUACAUAGUGGCGCACGGGUGCGUAACGCGUGGGAAUCUUCCCUUAACUACGGAACAACAUCGGGAAACUGAUGCUAAUACCGUAUAAUGACUCCGGUCCAAAGAUUUAUCGGUUAAGGAUGAGCCCGCGUCUGAUUAGCUAGUUGGUGAGGUAACGGCUCACCAAGGCGACGAUCAGUAGCUGGUCUGAGAGGAUGAUCAGCCACACUGGAACUGACACACGGUCCAGACUCCUACGGGAGGCAGCAGUGAGGAAUAUUGGACAAUGGGCGCAAGCCUGAUCCAGCCAUGCCGCGUGAGUGAUGAAGGCCUUCGGUUGUAAGCUC
rnacentral:rRNA from 1 species